rfam:Xenorhabdus vietnamensis strain DSM 22392 Xvie_2, whole genome shotgun sequence.
AAUCGUUGUAAACAGUCAUAGAAAGUGAUAACUCUUAAAUAUACGUCAAGCAUACGAAUUGAAAACGAAUAAAAUUAUGAACGCAUUUGUCCUAGUGAUUAGCCUAAUUAUUGUGAGCGUGGUGGUGAUUAUCCCACCGUGCGGGGCUGCACUAGGACGUAAAAUGGCUUAGACAGAAGAAUAGCCAGAAUCCUAAAAACCCCCGCACCGAAAGGCGCGGGGGUUUUUUUUAGGCUCGACACGUAGAAGCGGGCAUAACAAAACAUCACAACAGCCAACGAUAAGAU